UGAGUAUUUAAACAACUUUCUUUUAUGCACCAGUCAUUUGACAUUCCCCGCACCCCGCCUGAGGCAUACCCGGGGACAUAGCGGGGAUAUCACCCUGUUUUCACAGCUAUUUGACUCCCCGGUAGUCGGGGAUAGCGCUUCAAUUCACAGCUUCGACUUCAAGCCGGGGACUAACCCGGGGACUGCACUUUUCCUUGGGGCCUGGUACAGAGUGAGCCCUGUUUAUUAUGUAGUCAUGGCGGCUGAAAUGAAGAAGACUGUAGCAAGAAAAGGAAGAAAAAGAAAAAG